AACCCAUGGUGAAGGCACAUUCUCAAUAAGUCCUUAUACCUCUCCUAUACAUUAUAUAGAGUCUCUAAAUUGAUCUGAACAAAGGAAGAAAUGUCAUUCCUCAACUU
rfam:Gossypium arboreum cultivar AKA8401 contig_8918_1, whole genome shotgun sequence.